rnacentral:rRNA from 1 species
CGCGGCCUAUCAGCUUGUUGGUGGGGUAACGGCCCACCAAGGCAUCGACGGGUAGCUGGUCUGAGAGGACGAUCAGCCACACUGGGACUGAGACACGGCCCAGACUCCUACGGGAGGCAGCAGCGGGGAAUAUUGCGCAAUGGACGAAAGCCUGACGCAGCAACGCCGCGUGAGGGAUGAAGGCUUUCGGGUUGUAAACCUCUUUCAGCAGGGACGAUUGUGACGGUACCUGCAGAAGAAGCCCCGGCCAACUACGUGCCAGCAGCCGCGGUAACACGUAGGGGGCGAGCGUUGUCCGGAUUUAUUGGGCGUAAAGAGCUCGUAGGUGGUUCGGUAAGUCAGGUGUGAAAACUCUGGGCUCAACUCAGAGACGCCACCUGAUACUGCCGUGACUGGAGUCUGGUAGGGGAGUGUGGAAUUUCCGGUGUAGCGGUAAAUGCGCGGAUAUCGGAAGGAACACCAGUGGCGAAGGCGGCACUCUGGGCCAGUACUGACGCUGAGGAGCGAAAGCAUGGGUAGCAAACAGGAUUAGAUACCCUGGUAGUCCAUGCCGUAAACGUUGGGCACUAGGUGUGGGGAGGAAUCAACCCUCUCCGUGCCGUAGCUAACGCAUUAAGUGCCCCGCCUGGGGAGUACGG